GACGAACGCUGGCGGCGUGCUUAACACAUGCAAGUCGAACGAUGAGGAAAAGAAUCGAAGCUUCGGCAGAAAUUCAUUUCGGAUUAGUGGCAGACGGGUGAGUAACGCGUGAGCAACCUACCUCUUACAAAGGGAUAGCCUCGGGAAACCGGGAUUAAUACCAUAUAACAUUGUGACGAAGCAUUUCGAUGCAAUCAAAGCUACGGCGGUAAGAGAUGGGCUCGCGUCCCAUUAACCGGAUGGUGAGGUAACGGCUCACCAUAGUGACGAUGGGUAACCGGCCUGAGAGGGUGAACGGUCACACUGGAACUGAGACACGGUCCAGACUCCUACGGGAGGCAGCAGUGGGGAAUAUUGCACAAUGGAGGGAACUCUGAUGCAGCGACGCCGCGUGAGUGAUGAAGGAAUUCGUUUCGUAAAACUCUGUUCUAUGGGAAGAAAAGGACUGUACCAUAGGAGAAAGCUCCGGCUAAAUACGUG
rnacentral:rRNA from 1 species